AAAAAAAUUGCCGUUCCCGUUCGUCAGCCUGGUUUGCUUCGAGAAACAAAGUUAUUUCCAACAACAACGACCGACGGUGAUGGCGACGCAUGGUUGAAGGAUUGCAAUGUUCGGGUUUUUUACAUAUCAUAAAAACUUCGAUUCGCGAUCGUCAGCCUGGUUUGCUUAGAAACAAAGUUAUUUCCAACAACAACGCACAGUGUUCGGGUGUCAACAAGUGAGUAAAGCUUAAAGUUAUUAAAAAGAGUUUAGAAAAUAAAUUAUAAUUGUAAAAAAGUGAAUAUUUUGGUAAAUUGGUAGAAUUUGUGUUCAAAUGGACAAGAAAAAUAUUCAGGCUUCCGGAUCUAAACAGUCGGCAAUGGACUCCAUUGAAUUUUCACCCACAAAGCAGCCAAGGCAGAUUUUUAAGAAAACGAAUCAACAAGAUAUGAUAGACGAAAUGAGAGCGGACAUUAAAAGUUUGUGUGUCACCACGGAGCAGCUAAAAAAUGGAAUCUGCACAUUGGCAGCAUUUUUUUCAAUAAAAUCAUAAAAAUUUA